rnacentral:lncRNA from 1 species
AUGGCAGGGAGCCCAAGACAAUCCUUGCCCUGCCUUGGGGCUCCCCACUGGGCACCUCCCACCCCGGCACUCCUCUCACCCUUGCUUCCUCCACCCCCUGCCUCCCUUCCCCCACCCCCCCAACCCUGCUGUGCUCUGGCUGUGUGGUCACUCUCUUUAAGCAAGCCUCCUCCUCCUGGAUUUUCUUCCAAUAAUCCUCCUGAAGGGUUUCCCAUUGCUCCAGGAGAAUCAACUACACCAGCGCUUGUCCCCUGUCUCCUGCAGGAGAACUGUAUUGUGAGGGUUUUGAACUUAUGCGGAGGCCCAGCUGGAGUGCCAUCAAUCUCUUCAGGACACUGCCAGGCCAGAGGAUGUCCGAGAAGGAAGGCCACCCAGGAACUUCUGCAAAUGGAUGCAAGGACAUGGCCAUAACUGCAACCGGCCACACCAGAAAGCCACCUGAGAAAGACACUCAGGCCGUGAGAAUCAAGGGAUUAUUGAGAGAUUUAAAAAUGCUCAUAUGCUGUGUCCAGAAUUUCCAUGACUACAAAUCUCCCCAAGGUAAUAAGAAUCAUAGGAAACAAUUCUGUACAAAGAUACUUGUAACAGUAUCAUUUACCAAAGAAAAAACCUGAAAACCACCUGAAUGUCCGAGACUUCUUCUCACACCUGUAAUCCCAGCACGUUGAAAGGCUGAGGCAGGCAAAUCACUUGAGCCCAGGAGUUUGAGACCAGCCUGCCCAAUAUAGCAAGACCUUGUCUCAAAAAAAAAAAAAAAAAUCAGAAAAAUUAGCUGGAUGUGUUGUUGCAUACCUGUGGUCCCAGCUACUUGGGAGGUUGAGGUGGGAGGAUCACUUGAGCCCAGAAGGUCAAGGCUUCAGUGAACCAUUAUCACACCACUGCACUCCAGCCUGGGUGAUAGAACGAGACCCCCUCUAAAAAAAAAAAAAAUCAAAAACCAAAAAACUAUGGCAUUGCUUUACUGAAAAUACAACUGAAAAUGUUCCAAGAGUUUUAUAAUAUUAUAGGGCAAAAGUUCAUUGCCAAAUAAAAAUAGCAGAUUAGGCUGGUGACUCACACCUGUAACCCAGCAAUUCAAGGGGCUGAGGCAGGCUUAUUGCUUGAGCCCAGGAGUUCAAGACUAGCCUAGGCAACAUGGAAGACCAAGUCCUCUAUGAAAAAUACAAAAAUUAGCCUGGUGUGGUGACACACCUUGGCUCCCCACUGGGCACCUGUAGACCCAGCUACUUGAGAGGUAGAGGUG